UUUUUUUUUCAUCAGGACGAACGCUGGCGGCGUGCCUAAUACAUGCAAGUCGUACGCUUCUUUUUCCACCGGAGCUUGCUCCACCGGAAAAAGAAGAGUGGCGAACGGGUGAGUAACACGUGGGUAACCUGCCCAUCAGAAGGGGAUAACACUUGGAAACAGGUGCUAAUACCGUAUAACAAUCGAAACCGCAUGGUUUUGAUUUGAAAGGCGCUUUCGGGUGUCGCUGAUGGAUGGACCCGCGGUGCAUUAGCUAGUUGGUGAGGUAACGGCUCACCAAGGCCACGAUGCAUAGCCGACCUGAGAGGGUGAUCGGCCACAUUGGGACUGAGACACGGCCCAAACUCCUACGGGAGGCAGCAGUAGGGAAUCUUCGGCAAUGGACGAAAGUCUGACCGAGCAACGCCGCGUGAGUGAAGAAGGUUUUCGGAUCGUAAAACUCUGUUGUUAGAGAAGAACAAGGAUGAGAGUAACUGUUCAUCCCUUGACGGUAUCUAACCAGAAAGCCACGGCUAACUACGUGCCAGCAGCCGCGGUAAUACGUAGGUGGCAAGCGUUGUCCGGAUUUAUUGGGCGUAAAGCGAGCGCAGGCGGUUUCUUAAGUCUGAUGUGAAAGCCCCCGGCUCAACCGGGGAGGGUCAUUGGAAACUGGGAGACUUGAGUGCAGAAGAGGAGAGUGGAAUUCCAUGUGUAGCGGUGAAAUGCGUAGAUAUAUGGAGGAACACCAGUGGCGAAGGCGGCUCUCUGGUCUGUAACUGACGCUGAGGCUCGAAAGCGUGGGGAGCAAACAGGAUUAGAUACCCUGGUAGUCCACGCCGUAAACGAUGAGUGCUAAGUGUUGGAGGGUUUCCGCCCUUCAGUGCUGCAGCUAACGCAUUAAGCACUCCGCCUGGGGAGUACGACCGCAAGGUUGAAACUCAAAGGAAUUGACGGGGGCCCGCACAAGCGGUGGAGCAUGUGGUUUAAUUCGAAGCAACGCGAAGAACCUUACCAGGUCUUGACAUCCUUUGACCACUCUAGAGAUAGAGCUUCCCCUUCGGGGGCAAAGUGACAGGUGGUGCAUGGUUGUCGUCAGCUCGUGUCGUGAGAUGUUGGGUUAAGUCCCGCAACGAGCGCAACCCUUAUUGUUAGUUGCCAUCAUUCAGUUGGGCACUCUAGCAAGACUGCCGGUGACAAACCGGAGGAAGGUGGGGAUGACGUCAAAUCAUCAUGCCCCUUAUGACCUGGGCUACACACG
rnacentral:rRNA from 1 species